GAUGAACGCUGGCGGCGUGCCUAAUACAUGCAAGUCGAGCGAACGGACGAGAAGCUUGCUUCUCUGAUGUUAGCGGCGGACGGGUGAGUAACACGUGGAUAACCUACCUAUAAGACUGGGAUAACUUCGGGAAACCGGAGCUAAUACCGGAUAAUAUUUUGAACCGCAUGGUUCAAAAGUGAAAGACGGUCUUGCUGUCACUUAUAGAUGGAUCCGCGCUGCAUUAGCUAGUUGGUAAGGUAACGGCUUACCAAGGCAACGAUGCAUAGCCGACCUGAGAGGGUGAUCGGCCACACUGGAACUGAGACACGGUCCAGACUCCUACGGGAGGCAGCAGGAGGGAAUCUGCCGCAAUGGGCGAAAGCCUGACGGAGCAACGCCGCGUGAGUGAUGAAGGUCUGCGGAUCGUAAAACUCUGUUAUUAGGGAAGAACAUAUGUGUAAGUAACUGUGCACAUCUUGACGGUACCUAAUCAGAAAGCCACGGCUAACUACGG
rnacentral:rRNA from 1 species